CAGAUGAGGGUGCGUUCACAAGUUCACACUCUUCUCCUCUCAGGGUCUCUUUUUUAAAGGCCGUCUUAUAUCAAAUGUACCUCCUUUUGUGUAUUAACAAUGAAUUUGAAGAAGCUGUCAUGUGUGAUCUCACAGCCUUUCACAUGGAUCCAACAGCACCUCCAUCUCUCAUGACCCUACAGGCAACCUCAUGUGCUAAUUUAUCCUCUAACAAGAACACUAGCAGGGUUCAGCCGGGCUGUAAAUUGGUCUGGAUGUGGACGGGCAGGAGAGACCUGAGGCACAUGCUGGCCAUCCAAUGAACACAGACGAGCCAGACGCAUCGCAGAGCUGCUGACAGGCUGUCUCACUGAGCUCCUCUCCUGUCACGGGUCAUCUGGAUCAGAGAUGACAGCGGAUGCUGUUGUGCAGCAGCCGUGAGGAGGAAGUGAAGAGAGGGAGUAUGAAGAGCGACCGGUCCAUAAAGUGAAGAGGUCGGGAUGAUGGAUGUAGUACACACGGACAAGACGUCACUCAGGAGAUCUCAAUACGUGUCCAGUGUGAAACCCAAAAUCCACCCUGAGUUAUUUUAACCUGCUAACAUAGUGUUAUAACGUCACAUGCAUGAUGUACAUACG